rnacentral:rRNA from 1 species
GGACUACAGGGGUAUCUAAUCCCGUUUGCUACCCACGCUUUCGUGCCUUAGUGUCAGGAAUGAGCCAGUUAUCUGCCUACGCCAUCGGUGUUCCUCCUAAUAUCUACGGAUUUCACUCCUACACUAGGAAUUCCAAUAACCUCUCUCAUCCUCUAGCUUGGCAGUUUUGCUAAUGGGUAAGGGGUUGAGCCCCAGGAUUUCACUAGCAACUUACCAUGCCACCUACGCAACUCUUUACGCCCAGUAAUUCCGGAUAACGCUUGGAUCCUCCGUAUUACCGCGGCUGCUGGCAC